rnacentral:tRNA from 1 species
AGGGCUAUAGCUCAGCUAGGUAGAGCACCUCGUAAUAAGAAAUUUGAUCUGUUCUACCGAGAAGGUCUACGGUUCGAGCCCGUAUAGCCCUA